GUGAACGCUGGCGGUAGGCCUAACCCAUGCAAGUCGCACGGCAGCACAGUAAGAGCUUGCUCUUACGGGUGGCGAGUGGCGGACGGGUGAGGAAUACAUCGGAAUCUACUUUUUCGUGGGGGAUAACGUAGGGAAACCUACGCUAAUACCGCAUACGACCUACGGGUGAAAGCAGGGGAUCUUCGGACCUUGCGCGAUUGAAUGAGCCGAUGUCGGAUUAGCUAGUUGGCGGGGUAAAGGCCCACCAAGGCGACGAUCCGUAGCUGGUCUGAGAGGAUGAUCAGCCACACUGGAACUGAGACACGGUCCAGACUCCUACGGGAGGCAGCAGUGGGGAAUAUUGGACAAUGGGCGCAAGCCUGAUCCAGCCAUACCGCGUGGGUGAAGAAGGCCUUCGGGUUGUAAAGCCCUUUUGUUGGGAAAGAAAAGCAGCAGGUUAAUACCCCGCUGUUCUGACGGUACCCAAAGAAUAAGCACCGGCUAACUUCGUG
rnacentral:rRNA from 1 species